rnacentral:rRNA from 1 species
AUUGAACGCUGGCGGCAUGCCUUACACAUGCAAGUCGAACGGCAGCGGGGGAGAAGCUUGCUAUUCCUGUGGCGAGUGGCGAACGGGUGAGUAAUACAUCGGAACGUGCCCUGUAGUGGGGGAUAACUAGUCGAAAGAUUAGCUAAUACCGCAUACGACCUGAGGGUGAAAGUGGGGGACCGCAAGGCCUCAUGCUAUAGGAGCGGCCGAUGUCUGAUUAGCUAGUUGGUGGGGUAAAGGCCUACCAAGGCGACGAUCAGUAGCUGGUCUGAGAGGACGAUAAGCCACACUGGGACUGAGACACGGCCCAGACUCCUACGGGGGGCAGCAGUGGGGAAUUUUGGACAAUGGGCGAAAGCCUGAUCCAGCAAUGCCGCGUGUGUGAAGAAGGCCUUCGGGUUGUAAAGCACUUUUGUCCGGAAAGAAAUGGCUCUGGUUAAUACCUGGGGUCGAUGACGGUACCGGAAGAAUAAGGACCGGCUAACUACGUGCCAGCCGCCGCGGUAACAC